rfam:Manacus vitellinus contig29031, whole genome shotgun sequence.
UAAGUGGCUCUUCUGAGAGCCAAAAAUUGGCACAUAAAAUGUCAG